GGGGCAUGUGCACGCUCUGUUUACACAUCCACUCACACCUGUGCACCCUCUGUAGUUCUAUGGUCUGGGGGACCCUGUCUUCCUUCUGUGGUUCUACGUCUUUACACACACACUGUAAUAAAGUUUUAUGGAAUGUACAUCGCGUCUAACGCAAUACAAUACAACUUUCAGCAACGGAUCUCUUGGCUCUCGCAUCGAUGAAGAACGCAGCGAAAUGCGAUAAGUAAUGUGAAUUGCAGAAUUCAGUGAAUCAUCGAAUCUUUGAACGCACCUUGCGCCCCUUGGCUAUUCCGAGGGGCAUGCCUGUUUGAGUAUCAUGAACACCUCAACUCUCAUGGUUUGCCAUGAUGAGUUGGACUCUGGGGGUUUUGCUGGCCUGUGGUCGGCUCCUCUCAAAUUAAUCAGCCUCCCAGUGUUUGGUGGCAUCACGGGUGUGAUAAAUAUCUACGCUCGCUGUUGUCUGCCAGGUAACCUUUGGUCACAAAGGUUUGCUGGAGCUCACAGAUGUCUCUCCUCAGCGAGGACAGCUUUUUUAACGUUCGAUCUCAAAUCAGGUAGGACUACCCGCUGAACUUAAGCAUAUCAAUAAGCGGAGG
rnacentral:rRNA from 1 species